rnacentral:tRNA from 1 species
GCGAGAGUAGUAUAAUGGUAUUAUGACAGCCUUCCAAGCUGAUGAUGAGGGUUCGAUUCCCUUCUCUCGCU